AUUUUCAUCAACCUAUUGAAGUUGGUACUUCCCAUGAAAUUAUCCCAUAAUCAUACUUAAUUUAGUUUUUAUGGACAUUCACUAAUCACCAUGCGCGCUGAAAGCAUGCAAAACGGUGAACAACACUAUCGUUCCUGUGUUCCAAGCUUUAUACACAUUCCUGUACUAGAGUCAUGCCCGACCAACUGCCUUACCUGCGUAUAAAUCCAUUCCAAUGCAGACGUCAACCGCAUCGAGAACAAGUUGGCUAAUUGGACAACUUAAAAAAGCUUCAUAAAGUAUUAAAUAGUAUUAGUUAUAGCAGAGAAGAGCACUUCAACAAUUUCUACAACCAAGAUAGGUUAAAGUGUUGCGACUCCCGUUAAACAAAAACUGAACCAACGAUAAGCUGUACCACCCCCUGGGAAAAUUGAAAUAACAGAGAUAUAGAGAUACAAAACUGCAAACGAUAAUAAAGAAGAUCCCUCCUAAGCCUGUGCACAAGUGGGGAAACUUCUGUACAUCGUAAUAUUGUUUAGUCAUGACUAACCAAAAUUUUAAGCCUUGUUAAGCCAUUCUCUAUACUCACAUUUGGCCUAGAUAAGAAACUAUCUUCUUUUUUUCUUAUGGGAACAGAAAAUUUUCUGAAUGUGCACUUUGGCAUCCAGAACUCCGUAAAAGAUCUUCUCUAUAGCCAAAAAGAGAGUCGUCAGGUCACCCCUAAUUUACAGAAUUGGGGUGGAUAUGGAACUGUACUCUUAUACAGAUUUUAGAGUUAGUGCUUUGAAGGAAGCAUACUGCUCAUUCAGAACCUGAUGAUGAGUCUGUUCCAUUGGAAGAAUCCUCUCCAUUUGCUGGAAUAGAAGGGUUCCCCUGAUGGUGGUUCUCCUCACUGCUAUUGGUUCGAGGUUUGCCCAGUCUUGAUCGAAUAUUGGUACCCAUAGGGAAGGGCUCCUACAUGAGGAAAAAAAAAUUUGUUUUACAACAGUAAGACCAGCUGCUGGAUGGUUAAAAAACUCAAAAAGUCUCACAAAUUGCAUGCUCUAUAAAAACUCAUGCAAUAAAGUAAUAAACCAUAGGCAGCCCAGACCAUCACCAAUGACUCAUAAUCCAUCUAGUGGAAUAUACAAAUUGGGCUAGUCCUAAAAUCUAACAACCAAAGUUUCUAAUAACUUAUACAAUGAACAUAUUUAGUCUUUCUCAUCUGAUGUUUACCCUAAUAACAAUAUAGGGACUAUCAAAAGAAGCCUCUGGUGAAGAAUCUAUUUUGACAAGUUCAGCAGAUAAGAAUGAACUUUGACAGUAAAUAUGAGACAUUGUUUCAGUUCACCAUCUCUGUUAGUUACAAUCAAAUCCAACUUAUGGUUAAGAUGUACCAAGAAAAUAUAAGAAUUUAGUUAAUAGUGUAGUAAAGCUUAGAGAUGAGAACAAUAUCCACUGAAGUCUAAAGGACCUCCUUUAACCAAGACUGUAUAACAACAGUCACUAGACAUUAUCAGGUGCAACAUUGUCUAAUGGCAAGCCUCAAUAACAUACCGGAUCACCAGCAUUCGGACCAUCAGUAUGGAAGAGUAUAGGGCGACAGCGUUUAUCCUCAUUCAUCAAACUUGAGUUCUGGAAAUGGGCAAUAAGAGCCGCUUUUCCCUGAAUUCGAGCAUAUGCAAGAGAUGCCACUUUUUCACUGUUGAACUUCUCCCAUUUUUUGCCAUUGAAUGCCUGCAAAAAGAUAUGUUUGCUUAUACUGUUAGCUUUUAGACUUCAUGGUUCAGGGGGCAGAGGAGUAUUUCCUUUCACAGAAGAAUGACAAGACAACUACUGUCACUUCACUAAAGCCAGCAUUGGACCUUGUGGAAUGGAAUAAUCUGUUGAGGAUCAGUCAUGUUAAUGAAUGCAUAGCCCACAUUGCAUUUGUUCUGUUGAAUCAUAAUCAUAAAUUUGAAUUAGUGCUACAAGUAAGAAAACUAUAAAUAUUUUGUAUGUGUAGGGAAAGGCUCAGAAUGCGAGGCUUUUCCAGUUAAAAAUUUACUUGCCUUGAAAUCAAUUGGUAAGUAAAUAAAGUCAUAAGUUCCUCGACAGUGCUCAUCAAUUGCAGCCAAUAACAUCUUUGAAGUAUAUCUGGCGGGGGAAAAGACAAAAUAUGAAACCACAAAGGGCAAAGAGAAAAACAAAGUGCAUAUUGAAUGACCUAAACACUACCACCUUUGGAAAAUAAAAAUACAAGGACCAAUAGAGAAAAUUAUGGCAUAUAAUACAAUAAAUUUAAACUACCACUUUUGGAUUUAAUCAAAUUGUAUGAUUGUAAACAUGAUAAAAGUGGAUAAAAAUUCAUGGUAAAAUAUUAGAAGUAUAAAACAUAAACUGGAUGACUAAGACCAAAAACAAAUUCUAUUCUCAAUUAGUUCAUUAACAAUCCCUUUGCUUUAUUUUAUCUCAGCAGUGGAAUCUCAAUGAUCACAAGUCCCCUGCCAAACUGACAAUUCCCUAGCAGAAAAACAACUGAGCCAACAACUCCCAAGUUAAAAAUGAGAUAAUCCACAAAACAUAAAGCCAUUUGCAACAAAUUUUUUAUUAAAAAAUGAUUAGCUCACAAGAGAUACAAAAAUACUGUAAUUCAAUCAUACUUUAAUAAGACCUUUUAUGAUAGACAAAUUUGAAAAUAUGGAGGUAUUUUUUUUCCUUACUUGUUUGGAAUGUUCUUUAUCAUCAAUGUGGUUCGACCAUCUUCGCCACGCACUAUGUGGUCAAUAUCAAGUUCGUAUUGUUUCUUAUCUAAAUGACUGGAAUUUGAUUCAAUUCUGCAAUGCGAGAGAUUUCUCACACGUUCAUUAGGAGAGUCAAAAGGGGCUGGCAUUGAGAUCAUUGGGUUCCUCCGAGGGAAAAUGUGGCACAUCGGCUGAGCAGCGUGUAGUCCAGCAUUUUUAGUAACAUCCAUACAAUUUCCACCAACAUGAGAAAAAAUGUUGUGGGAAGCAAUUUCCAUAGGAUGUGGUGGAGAGCUACCAGGAAAACCCACACUCCCAAGAGAACCCAGAUGGAAACUAGAAGCUUCUGAAGACUCCCCAGAAUAAGCAUGUCGCCUAUCCCACAAGGAAGGAUUAACAGCUGGAGCAGAUCCUAUGUGAUGAUGUGCACGUAAUGUGUUGAGCAUAACUGGAGGUGCUCCAGGAAAUCCAGGUAUAUGUGAAAGGUGAUGAGCAUGAACACCAUUGGCAAAUGAUGGCGAAUUUGGCCAAAUCAUACGGUUUGAAUGAUGUUGCUGACCUGGGUUGGAAUUGUUCCAUAUAUAAUGAUGUCCAGGAAGAGAGCCACUUCCAUUUCCAGAAGAUCCAAAAACCCCUUCAUUAAGUUCCAUAAGGUGCCCGUUUGAACCUACUCCUUGAAUGUGCCUGCUGUUGAUUCCUUCUGUCACUUUGGAACCAAGACUACGAACCAUGCCUCCAAUGGUACUUGUGGAGUUAUAUGGAAUACUAUUGGCUAAACUAUCGUGAUACUCUGGCAAGGAGUGAGGGUGGAAACUUGAAAUGCAUUGGUUACCAAACAUUAUUUCAUUCAUGGAGUGGUUAGAUUCGUGAACAGCAAAUUGUUUGCCGACAGAUCCCACUGUCACUGGAGAGGGCAAGUUAUUUGGAACACUAGAACUCUGAUGAGAUUCAAUAAAUGAACCCACAGGCGACAGAAUGGUAGAAGGUAAAACUUGAGUUGAUCCAUUGUCCAUGUAGCUAGAUGCAAUUACUCCAGGAGAAAAUGUUGCUAGUCGUCCAGCUGAUAAGUCAUCAAAUGGGCUUUUACAAAGAUUGGGUUCCUCAUGCUCCUGCUCAGGCUUUAGCGCCAAACGUCUUGUACCCCCAGGACGGCUUGUUUCAAGCUUGAUCUGCUUCCCAGCAAUGUCACUCCUAUUUAAUGCAGACAAAGCUGCUUCUGCAGCUCUAAUAUCAUAAUACUCUAUGAAUUUGUGAUGGCGCUUGUGAGGGGUUUCACGGAUUUCUUUAAUUUCUCCAUAAACUCCAAAUAUUUUGUGCAGCUUCUCAGUUGAAACAGAAGAAUCAAGAUUGAAAAUCACUAGAGUACCCUGGUUAAUAUCUUUCUCAGAUGGAUUGUCCUUCGGAAUUGAGUAAUGUAUGUCAAGCUUCCUACGCCUUAGUGGCUUAUUCUGCAGAGAUCUCAUUGCAUUUCGGGCUGCCCUAAUGUCAUAGUAAGAUAUCAUAACAAAACCACGAUGCUUG
rnacentral:misc_RNA from 1 species